AAAUAGUCAGUUUCUGCUUCAUAGAAGGUGCUUAGGCAAAUCCGGGCACGUAAUUCAAGGGAGUGGGACGAGUGCACUUGUGCACGAAGCAAUCGGAAGUGGUUCCAAGAAAAGCCUCUAAGCUUCAGUCAUACGAGACCGUACCGCAAACCGACACAGGUGGGCGAGAUGAGUAUUCUAAGGCGCUUGAGAGAACUCGGGAGAAGGAACUCGGCAAAUUGGUACCGUAACUUCGGGAAAAGGUACGCCCCGGUAGCUUGGUCACUUUACUGUGAUAGGGCGAAAGGGUUGCAAUAAACUGGUGGCUGCGACUGUUUAAUAAAAACACAGCACUCUGCAAACACGAAAGUGGACGUAUAGGGUGUGACGCCUGCCCGGUGCUGGAAGAUUAAAUGAUGGGGUGCAAGCUCUUGAUUGAAGUCCCAGUAAACGGCGGCCGUAACUAUAACGGUCCUAAGGUAGCGAAAUUCCUUGUCGGGUAAGUUCCGACCUGCACGAAUGGCGUAACGAUGGCCACACUGUCUCCUCCCGAGACUCAGCGAAGUUGAAGUGUUUGUGAUGAUGCAAUCUACCCGCGGCUAGACGGAAAGACCCCAUGAACCUUUACUGUAGCUUUGCAUUGGACUUUGAACCAAUCUGUGUAGGAUAGGUGGGAGGCUUUGAAGCGGUGACGCCAGUCAUCGUGGAGCCAACCUUGAAAUACCACCCUGGUUUGUUUGAGGUUCUAACCUUGGUCCGUGAUCCGGAUCGGGGACAGUGCAUGGUAGGCAGUUUGACUGGGGCGGUCUCCUCCUAAAGUGUAACGGAGGAGUUCGAAGGUACGCUAAUUACGGUCGGACAUCGUGAUGAUAGUGCAAUGGCAUAAGCGUGCUUAACUGCGAGACCGACAAGUCGAGCAGGUACGAAAGUAGGACAUAGUGAUCCGGUGGUUCUGUAUGGAAGGGCCAUCGCUCAACGGAUAAAAGGUACUCUGGGGAUAACAGGCUGAUUCCUCCCAAGAGUUCAUAUCGACGGGGGAGUUUGGCACCUCGAUGUCGGCUCAUCACAUCCUGGGGCUGUAGCCGGUCCCAAGGGUAUGGCUGUUCGCCAUUUAAAGUGGUACGUGAGCUGGGUUUAAAACGUCGUGAGACAGUUUGGUCCCUAUCUGCCGUGGGCGUUGGAAAUUUGAAGGGGGCUGCUCCUAGUACGAGAGGACCGGAGUGGACGAACCUCUGGUGUACCGGUUGUCACGCCAGUGGCAUUGCCGGGUAGCUAAGUUCGGAAGAGAUAACCGCUGAAAGCAUCUAAGCGGGAAACUUGCCUUGAGAUGAGAUUUCCCGGAGCUUUAAGCUCCUUGAAGGGUCGUUCGAGACCAGGACGUUGAUAGGCUGGGUGUGGAAGUCA
rnacentral:rRNA from 1 species